rnacentral:lncRNA from 1 species
CGAUGUUGACGGAUUAAGAAAGGUCUCCUCUUCAGUUUCUUCCGCUGGGAUAGAAAAGCUCAUCACGACCCAUCUUAAGUAAAUCAUCCUCGCCAGCCAUAGAUCAAUCUAAUCACUAGUCACAAUCACACCGUGGAGAUAGCGUAUUUCUUCGUUUCGUUCAACCCGGUGGCUUGGAUGUGCUGCGUUCGAACGAGAGAGACAGAUCAGAAGACGUACUAAUGUACUAAAUUUGCUGAAUUAGAAGACAAAGGUGUACCGCGGAGGGGAGAGAAACUAUUCCCUGGCGUUAAUACACGUAUGUAUCACACGAAAUAAUUUCCAAGGCAAGCGAUACUAGCUGACGAGAACUCCUAAGGCAGCCCGGCCCGAGCACAGCUAAACAUCCGUUCGUUCUCAGCUUGGGCUCUGCCCAAGUUUCUCUUCCUAUGAGACUUGUGACCGGUCUUGGAAGAAAAGUAAGGGAGAGGAAGAGUAGAUGGGCUCUUUCACAGCACAAAUCAGGCUUGCCCACUGUUAACAAUGUGCAUUUUCCUUGGUCUGUCUUUCGAGGAAUUGGCAUAAUUUGUCCACACUUGUCAUUGUGGAUGAAAGGGGGUGGGGGGAGUUAUAAAAAUAAUCCUAAAUUUAUUGUAUUUAUACUAAUUCAAUCUUUAAUUUUUUUUUAAAAUUUUGUCAAAUUGAGACCUAAAUAUUUUGACAAUUUACCAAGGCAGUCAUCUGACUAAUUUUGGCUAAAUAUUGUUGAUGUUGAUGAUAACUAUCCCAACAUGGACAUUUCUUUAAAAAAUUAUCAUAUUUUGAAAUUUUUAUUAUAAUAUAUUUAUACAUUUUUUUCUUUGUUCUUUUUUUUUUUUUUUUUUUCUUUUUCCUUCUUCCUCCACCAGUCACCAAGCCUCGAUGAUAGCCAAUGAUUGACCAAAGGCAACGAUAGGCUAUGAUCACUCAAAGAUCACAAGGGCUGGCCUCGCUAGCUUUGGGCGAGGGGCGACCUCGCUAAAUCUUGAUGAGGGUGACCCUCGCCGAUGUUGCCUGAGACCUAAUGACCAAUAGAGGAACAAGGGAAAAACAUAGAAAGAAAAGAAAAAUGUUGACAAGAGAAACACUACCCUCUCAUGAAUUGUAUGAUCAUUGGAUUUAUACCAAUGACCAAAAAAAAAAAAAAUUGAGCAAAAAAUAUAAUGAAAAAUUUAUAAAAAUUGUUCACGUGAAUGCCAAUCAUGUUACGUGGGACAGCCAGUAUCUACAUUAGCGUUUUUUUUUUUUUUUUUUAUCAAAAUUGGCCAGAUGAACUAUAUUGGCAAAUUGUCAAAAGGUAUAGGACUCAAUUUGCCAAAUUAAAAUAAUUAUGAUUGGAUUGGCACGAACGCAAUAAAUUUAGAACUUUUUUGAUAAUUUCCCAAUGAAAAUCAAUGGGCAAAUUGAGUCGAAACAACUCGAACCAUAGUUCAAUUACCAACAUCCACCUCCGACCAAUUGCUUUCUUUAGCACUAUGGCUACAGCCGUCUAUCGAUCGUUACAACCAACACUAUGAACGGGCAGCACAAUACAUCGGUUAACAAAUAUCAUGUAAUCUCAUCGUAUAUUUUUUUUUAGUGAGGUUUUAUCUAAUCAUUGUUUUGCGAUCGCUAAUAUUCUAGUUUAUCAUCUAUUGUUAUCUUGUAGUUCGAAUCAAUAGAAGUAAAUCAGAACUCGUAAUCGUGAUCAACUUUUCCGGUCUUUGCAUUUUAUUAAGUCUUCGCCGAUACCAAAAUCAUGAAGUCUCUCUUCAUUGUCUUAUCUACUAAGUCAAGCGACAGUAUAUAUCAAUUUGCCAAAAAAGAAAAAGAAAAGAGAGUACGUCAAAUGCACUCUUAGCGUUUAAGUUUCUUCUCCAUGACAGACGACAUACAUUAUACCAUCACUAGGAAGAAAAGGAAGAAGGAGAAGCGAGCGACAGAAGAUAAACAUUCGAUUAAGAAAACCUUACUUUUAAAGCAGGAAUCUCUCUGCUAUCUUUACGUCUAUCUCGGUAGCCUAACGCGAUACAUGCAACGCAUGUGGUUUAUCUUUAGGACAAAAGUAAGUAGGACAGCUUCUGCGCUUUUUGGCCUUUCCAUGUGAGCAUCCACUCAUUCCCUUAACCCUCAACAUUCAGCUAAGGGCACCGCCAACUACCUUUGCCCUGAUGGGGAAGUAUUUUAUCCGUCUCAAUUUGGGAUUGAUCCGGGACUUUCCUAUCUCGCAGAACACGCUUGAUUCACAGAGAAAUCGAGGGUUGUACAAAAUACGGAUGAUAGAUCUCGAGAGAAUUUAGAAGGCCGACACCACUUAGGCAAAAGCAAUCCUAAACACACUAGAAAAAGAAAUAUAUAGCACUUCGAUAAGUGAAAGAUUAACUAACGGAGUAGCAUGAUUAUCCUUUUGAGGAGUACAAUGUAAUGAUCAAUGGUCUCAUGCACUACUGAUUAUUGAAAAGGGAGAAAGGAAAACGUGAGUUGUCAUUACAUUUAAUAGAAAAUGAUAUUUAAUGUUUCAAUUAGAUACUUAUUUAGUGAAAUGACAUCAGGCAUUAAUGUCCCGAAAUAGAUCAGAUUCUCGAUAAAUACUCUAUGAGUUCUCAAAUUAUAGUACUGAAAUAUUUCAAUUAUUUUGUCUUUACAACUACACUAGUAUAUACCCCCACAUGACUAGUGGACAAAUUUCACAGAAUUCAUCAGGAGGUAGGAAUCUUAAUAGAAGCGACACUUUCUACACAUUUCUUGUCGAUGCUAGUGUCAUCUCGACGUGUAUAAAUAAAAGCUACGGAAGCAUUUCUUCUUACCUACAAACACUCACUCCUUUGCGAUGGCAACAAUAUUGCCCUCAUCACCAGCUUUUCCGGGG